CACGAACUGCGCAAACGUUAUUCGGAAUCACUGGGCUUAAAGAGUCCGUAGGCGGCCCGGAGGGUGGGGUGUGAAAUCCCACGGCUCAACCGUGGAAUUGCGCUCCAAACCGCCGGGCUCGAGGGAGAUAGAGGAGAGCGGAACUGAUGGUGGAGCGGUGAAAUGCGUUGAUAUCAUCAGGAACACCGGUGGCGAAAGCGGCUCUCUGGGUCUCUUCUGACGCUGAGGGACGAAAGCUAGGGGAGCGAACGGG
rnacentral:rRNA from 1 species